GCGUGAAUUUACUAUUCACCUUAUUCUCCACUCUUAGUCUUCCCUUCACGAUUAAAGCCCUAGCCGCCAUCCCUCUUCAUCGUGCAUCUCCGGCCACCCUCACAAGCGUUUCAUCUCCAUCGUCUCGACUGCAACCCUCUCCGUUGGUUCCGAAGUCGAAGCAUCCACCGUACGCUGUUGCAGUCGAGCUCGCCGCGUGAGUCCUCGUCUGUGUCAUGUUCUUCACUGUCGCGGGUCGUCGGUCGCCUCAACUCAUAAAAUCUAAACGUCGUGUGAGCUGUACGCGAGCCACGCUCAUUGAGCCAGUUCUGUGUAAACCGUACGUGAGUCGUGAGUCCCAAGACCUAAGUCGAAGCCCUUGCUAGCCAAGCCCUUUCAAUUUGAGCCAUCUGCAACAUAUUUGAGCCCUUGGUUAAAGUGCAGUUUGAGGAAUUGAGCUGAGCAAAUUUCGAUUCAAGGUUGUAUUGAGAUCAACUUUAAAUCUUGGGGACUGAGUUUACUGGGAGGACUUGACUGUCAACCAGAGGAGUACUAUUUCUUUUGCAAAUCUGCAGGUAAAGGUAGAGAGGGCAAACUGGCAAAUGAUAAGAAGUGAGCGUGGUUCGCCAUAGGGAAUAGUUCAAUUUUCUUUCGAAUUUAUAUUUUAGUUAUUAUAUUUUCAAAGGUUUAUUUCAGAACUCAGGUUCAAUUAUUUUAAGUAUUUCUUCUUUUUUUUUUUAUGGGCCCAAACUAGUAUUAUGAUUAGUUAUUUUAAUUAUUUAUGUACUUUUAAAGUCUUUCCUUAAUUUUCUUUUAAGAAAAAUCUAUAUUUAAUUAAAUAGUAAUGACUUCAACUUAGUCCGAAAGUUGUGGUGCUACAUAAAGCAAGGACAAAUGAUAAUAGAGGAGUAUAAUCAGAUAUUUGAAGUGCUGUCACGUUUUGUUUAUGAGCUUGUUGAUAAUGAGCAGGCCAGAGCAAAGAGGUUUGUUAGAGGUUUGAACGAUGAGAUCAGAGGUUUUGUAUGAGCACUUAAGCCAACUACUCAGGCUGAAGCACUGCGUCUGACAGUGGACAUGGCACCUGGCAGUGGACAUGUGUAUUCGAAAGGAUGAGGUUCAUUCAAAGAUUGUUGAUAUGGGAACAUCACCUGGUUAGAAGAGGAAGGCGGAUCAGAAGUCUGUUGAAGUUCCUAAGAGGAACUUGAUGUCAGUUGGUGAUUUUCGUCGUUUCCAGUAAAAUUCCAUUGGGGCAGGUGAAACUGCCAGAGAGAAACCAUUGUGCACCACUUGUGGAAAGCGCCAUCUGGGUCGCUGUUUAUUUGGGACAAUGAUUUGUUUCAAGUGUAGGCAAGAUGGGCAUACAGCUGAUCGUUGUCCUUUGAGGCCUAGUGAGGUUGGGCAGGGCAGUCAGGGGACGAGAGCACUACAGCAGGGCAAAGUUUUGCCACAAACAGAUUUGUGGGUAAGAGGGCUGACACAGUUGCAACAGGUACGCUACCAGUGUUGGGGUAUUUUGCCUUAACUUUAUUUGACUCUCGUUCCUCUCACUCUUUUAUAUCAUCGAUAUUUGUAUCA